CCCCCUACGGGGGGCAGCAGUGGGGAAUAUUGCACAAUGGGGGAAACCCUGAUGCAGCAACGCCGCGUGAGUGAAGAAGUCAUUCGUGAUGUAAAGCUCUGUCUUCAGGGACGAUAAUGACGGUACCUGAGGAGGAAGCCACGGCUAACUACGUGCCAGCAGCCGCGGUAAUACGUAGGUGGCGAGCGUUGUCCGGAUUUACUGGGCGUAAAGGGAGCGUAGGCGGACUUUUAAGUGAGAUGUGAAAUACUCGGGCUCAACUUGAGUGCUGCAUUUCAAACUGGAAGUCUAGAGUGCAGGAGAGG
rnacentral:rRNA from 1 species